rnacentral:tRNA from 1 species
AAGCCCUGAGGUGGGUACUAACAUAUUGAAUUGCAAAUUCAAAGAAGCAGCUUCAACUCUGCCGGGGCUU